AGCUUUCCUGGGCAGCUAGGUACAACUAGCAAUAAGGUUUUAUUUGGGGGUGUAGGGGACGCAACAUCACACAAAUUAAAGUCUCAUCUGUAUUUCAUCCAGGGUUGAAUCCCCUUAGCACUGAAAGAAAAAAGCGCAUUUAAAUUUCUGCAGAGCCCAAUGGUGCCUGCUAUUCAUGGGCUCAGGAUGUACUCACUAGUCCACCGAAUGAGGGCAUGCAAACAAAC